rnacentral:rRNA from 1 species
GAGACUGGGAGUAACACCUGGAAACAGAUGCUAAUACCGGAUAACAACACUAGACGCAUGUCUAGAGUUUAAAAGAUGGCUCUGCUAUCACUCUUGGAUNGGACCUGCGGUGCAUUAGCUAGUUGGUAAGGUAACGGCUUACCAAGGCAAUGAUGCAUAGCCGAGUUGAGAGACUGAUCGGCCACAUUGGGACUGAGACACGGUCCAAACUCCUACGGGAGGCAGCAGGU